rnacentral:lncRNA from 1 species
AUUAAGCCACGAUCAGUAAUGGAUUUAUCACGUACAAAAAACUACCUUAUGGAUUGUUUAUAUAUUCACUAUUCACAACAAUCAAAUUACAAAAUACUGCGUAUCAUAAACAUACAUAUCUUUACAAGAUUCUGAAAAUGCCACUGUUGUUCGGUCUUGUAGUAGCCCGCUCUUUUAAUUAUGAUUAAAACUAGUAAAUGCAAUUUUUAUAAAUGAAUCCAGUUUAUGGUCCUGAUUUUUUUAUCAGAAACGGAGUUAUUAUUUUAGCUUUAUACUAUUUUUAUCAGAAACGGAGUUAUUAUUUUAGCUUUAUACUUUUAUAACGUAUGAGAAAAACGCGACGAGGAUUAUUGAGCCAUUCAAUAAUUAUUAUUUUCAAGUUAUAACUGACUUAGCAAAGUCAUGUUAUUUAUUAAUCGAAAAACAGAAGCAGUUAUAUUUAUUAGUGCUACUUGAAGUCGAGAAAUUAUUCCGACUGCAACGCAGAUUAAAUCUACGGAUUUAAUCUAGAUAUUAAAUGGCUUGUGAAUUGAAUUAAAUCUAUGUAUUUAAUUUAUACAUGAAUAAUGAGCAGAAGCCAAUAUUUGAUUGCAAACACGCGAUUAAAUAGUAGAUGCAUGAGUAACCAAGAUACAAAGAUUAUUAUUAUUUACAAUUAGGACAUCACACUAUAUACGCAUAAUUACCACCAGCACUACAACAACAUCUUUUUUUCCCUACAAUAACUAAGCCUCCACUAUCAUUAUCUUUUACACCUUUCUAACAUUUCUUUACGUUAGUGGCUAGCACACUUAAGUGCACCACCAAAUCCCCUUUUCUUAAUUUAUCUAUCAACCUUUAAACCACCACCUCCAAAGGCUUUAUCAUUCAGCCAACAUACUAAUCAUUCAUUCUUCAAGAAUUCAGAGUAAGUACGUUGAUUCCUGCUGCCAAACUUCGAACAGGUAAGCUUUGGUUUAAGUUUUUUUCCACCAGUCCAUUCUUGAUUCCCCUGCAUAUGUCAAUAAGCAUCUGAAAAUUUCAGUAUCUCCUCAUUAAAUUCAAUAGCAACAAACAGCCACCAACAACAAGCAAUUACAGGUAUAUACUAAGCUCCCUUCAUUCGAAUCCCAUUUACUCAUCCAAAGCAUGAUUAGUAAAAAUUGAAUGUAUAGAUGAGUAUAGGUUAUGGACUUAGCAAAGUCACAAGCACAGAAAUCAGUUCAUAUGUAAUUACAUUUCUUCACGUCGAGCCACAAGCAAUGAGAAUUCAUAUGAUACAGAAGCAAUCAAUACCUAGAUUAAUUUCUUGCCUUCACAAUAGACUAUUCAACGGGGAAUGAAAACUAGAAUAAAGACCUUAUCCUUGCCUAAUUCACGUUAAGAACCGACUAUGGAGAAUAGUUUGACUUAGCUUUUAAGAGAGGGGAUGGCUGACUGCCUCGAUCGGUUUGAGACAGCUACGACAGGGGCGAACUCGCCCAAUCUCAUCAAGACCCGAGGACGGCAGCCACGGCGAUACCGAACUGGAGGGGGGGCGAACCGACCGGUACCAGGGCCGGAGCAGCGGCCGCUCGACAGUAGCAAAUUCCUCUUUUCUGGAAACCAAGGCUAGAGGUCGGAGGGGGGAAGUAUAGAGAAGGGAAAUGAGAUCGAACCGCUCCCAGACGGCGACCGCUUGCUGGAUUCCGGGCAAGGGAGUAGCAGCGACAGCGGCGAUGAUUUCUUGAGUUAGGGCUCGACUGGGUCUGCCUGAGGAGAGAGAGAGAUGACGACGCCGGGGUUGGACACGUCGCCGAUCGAAGCUGACCGGAGCAGUGAUGGCUGGACGGCCGGAAAAGAUGGAACCGACUGGAAUUUUGGGAGGGCCGACCAAGCGGCUGACCUUGAGAAAGAAUAGAGAGAAAAAGGCGUGAAUUGCUUUAAGAGGGAGCUAGAGGGAGGAGAACGCCGGGCUUAGGCGCGGAGGCAGUCGACGCCGGCCGGAGUCGCGGCGGCGGACGCCUCGUGUGAAGGCGAGUCGAGAGUGAGAGGGAGAAGAGGCGUGCGGCUGGCUUGAGGGAGAGAGAGAGAGUGUCGGUCCUUGGCUUGAGAAGAGAGAGAGAGAGUCCGAUACUUGUGAGAGAAAGAGAGAGAGCUGGGCUUUACAAAAUUUAUUUAGUUUGGGCUUAGUUAAUUUGUUUUUAAGUAGUUUGGGUCUUUCCUAUUUUAUUUAGAUUGGGCUUCCAAUUUAAUCAUUUGGGCCAAGAAUUAUUUAAUUACUAAGCCCAAUGAAUUAUUUCAAUUGGACCUUUCAUUUUAGCUAUCCAGGCCCAUUUCUGCUUAAUUAAUUAUUGGGCUACCUUAUGUUGAGCAUUUUAAUUAUUCGAACUCAUAACAUUUCAAAUUCUCAUUAUUAAGCCCGGUUAAUUAUGAGUUUUUAAAGCGAAUAAGCUGAAGUAUUUAAUUAUUUUCUAUCGACUACGAGAAGCGGGAUUUAUUUAAUCGACGGAUUAGAACACCCUGAAGAGAAUAGAUUAAUUUUAAUUAAUUAUCCGGUUUCAUGAGACGAGACUUACUUUGUUUAAAUCCGAUAGCCUGGAUUAACAAUAGAAAUUCCCUGAUUAUUAUUUCAGAAUAAUAAUUCAUGCAUAAGGAUCAUGCAUAGUUAAAUAUACAUUCUCAUUUGAGGAUUUUUAUUCGAGCAAAUAUCUUAUAUAUGUACAUAUAUUCUCGUAAUAAAGGUCAAGGGCGAGAUUGAUAAUCUGUUGAGGAGCUUUCGUAUCACAGAAAAUCACUAUCAGGUGGGUUACUUUCAUAUAUAUCAAAUGAGUUUAAUGUUAUGUUUGAACAGUUAUUUCAUUGCUAAAUUAAUUGAAAUUAUUUCAACUAUUGUCUUGCCAUAAAUGUUUCAAUUUUGGUAUGAUAUCUAUCUGAUGUGGCUUUGCCAGUUAUUAUGAAAUCGAAUUCGGGUCCUGAGCAGUUGAUAGCUAUCCUGCCAGGGCUAGUGUACACCAGUGACCGUGAGUCAUCUAGCGGGUUGGCCGGUCAAGUGUCCGUGAGAGGUGGCCACCUCUCCGGCACACAGUUCCAGAUAUGAUAGAUUACAAGAGAACUUAGUCUGCAGACGAACUUUAAGAAUCACAAAUGAAUUUAGUAAGCUUGGGCCUUUUUAGCGAAAAACUCCCUUGCUGUACUGUUUAUGAUGGCAUGACAAUUUACAACUUUAUGAAGCAUGUUAUAUUUCAUAGUAGGCAUAUGUGCCCACUGAGUACUUUUGUACUCAGCCCUGCAUAUAUUUCUAAAUGUGCAGGUUGAGCAGCUGCCGAUGGUGAUGAAGUGACGAGCGGGACUCUUUGUCUUAUUAUGUAUUAAUGAACUCUAGGGUUACAUGUCUUCAUACAUGUAAUCAGAACCUUAUUCCGCUGCGUACUCAGAAGUUUUAUGUUAUUUUGGAUAAGUCGGAGUUAUCCGAACUUACUAGUUAUUUGAGUCUAUACGACUAAAACUCCGUUAUAUUAUAAAUAUCCCUGUUGUUAACAAUGAUACUGCGAUCCUUUCUUGUUUGAUUAUUCCCCUUUCUACCCCGCUUCUAAUCUCCCUCCAUUAGUCACGGUUUCCCCGGCUUAAUUAUCCUUAAUUAUGUCCGGUCGUGACAGGUCUGAUCAAAGAUCUGCAGCCAGGUAGAAGCAAGAUAGCGUUGCAACUGAGACUAAUCAGAAGCUAUGAUAUUCUCAAAUUUGGCAACAAGAACGAAGCCUUUUCC